GUCCAGACUCCUACGGGAGGCAGCAGUGGGGAAUAUUGCACAAUGGGGGAAACCCUGAUGCAGCGACGCCGCGUGAGUGAAGAAGUAUUUCGGUAUGUAAAGCUCUAUCAGCAGGGAAGAAAAAAGACGGUACCUGACUAAGAAGCCCCGGCUAACUACGUGCCAGCAGCCGCGGUAAUACGUAGGGGGCAAGCGUUAUCCGGAAUUACUGGGUGCAAAGGGUGCGUAGGUGGCAUGGUAAGUCAGAAGUGAAAGCCCGGGGCUUAACCCCGGGACUGCUUUUGAAACUGUCAUGCUGGAGUGCAGGAGAGGUAAGCGGAAUUCCUAGUGUAGCGGUGAAAUGCGUAGAUAUUAGGAGGAACACCAGUGGCGAAGGCGGCUUACUGGACUGUCACUGACACUGAUGCACGAAAGCGUGGGGAGCAAACAGGAUUAGAUACCCGAGUA
rnacentral:rRNA from 1 species